AAAAAACCACGAUGUUUGAGGGCCAUCAGGCCGGAAGAAAUUAAGACUUGUUGAUAUCUUGCGCUUUGACAUAGAUUUUUGGCGGUUUUUUGUGUUAUAGAGGUGAUAGAGCAGGAUGCCAAGAGGAGAAAGGUGGCUUAUCUGGCAAGCCUUGUAGAAAGAGGACACCAUAGUUGUCAGGAAGCCCUAGAAGUGUCAGAGGAAACCUUUGGAGGCACAGCACGUGGAGGAGCUAUUCAUCAAUCUCAACAGUCAACAGCUGCAGAUAUGUCUACUUUGGUAGACAAAUACAAGACUCUUGAGAGAGUCAAGAGAAAGCAAGCUGUUGGCUCGAAAAAGAGAUCUUUGCCCUCUGCAGUGCAGAUAACUGUUGGUGCACUCGUCUAUUUCAGUAAACUGAGGAGGACAGUCAACAGCAGAAGCCUUCCAACAGGUGUUUGUCUGUCAGUUGCAAAGACGUCCACAGCCGAGCAACUGCUACAACAUUGCCAGAAAGCAUUGUUUCCGUCACAAAAGGAAAGUUCUAUCUUGGGAAUAGCAAGGGCGACAGGAUAGACGGAAAAGUAGGAGGUGUCCCUUGGACCAUUGAAUCCUAUUUUCGAAUGCGUGGUCUUGCACCUUCGAGGUGCAGAUUUUAUAUUGUCAAGGUCUACGAAGAUGAAGAAAUCAGUUCUGUGGUGAGAGUGGAAACAGAGAAAAACAAGACAUCGUUGAGGUUGUCAUCAUCAUCACCAUCAUCACCAUCGCCAUCACCAAUGCCAGCAGCAGCAGCAGCAGCAAGCAGCAAAGACUAGCAGAAGUACAUUGACUUAAUUAAUUAAUUAAUGACUGUAGAUACAUACUGAGUUAAAGGUACAUUUCUGUCACAUGCGCUAAUAAACUGCGCCCCGCUUACACCUUUGAUUGUUGGUUACCAACAAUCAAAUUGAGACAUUUGACGCAUUUCCAGAACAAAGUAUGCUUACGUAUGCUUUUAACUGACUAAAUGAUAAAUUCU